GGGUUGUGAGGUUAAGCGACUAAGCGUACACGGUGGAUGCCCUGGCAGUCAGAGGCGAUGAAGGACGUGCUAAUCUGCGAUAAGCGUCGGUAAGGUGAUAUGAACCGUUAUAACCGGCGAUUUCCGAAUGGGGAAACCCAGUGUGAUUCGACACACUAUCAUUAACUGAAUCCAUAGGUUAAUGAGGCGAACCGGGGGAACUGAAACAUCUAAGUACCCCGAGGAAAAGAAAUCAACCGAGAUUCCCCCAGUAGCGGCGAGCGAACGGGGAGCAGCCCAGAGUCUGAAUCAGUGUGUGUGUUAGUGGAAGCGUCUGGAAAGGCGCGCGAUACAGGGUGACAGCCCCGUACACAAAAAUGCACAUAUUGUGAGCUCGAUGAGUAGGGCGGGACACGUGGUAUCCUGUCUGAAUAUGGGGGGACCAUCCUCCAAGGCUAAAUACUCCUGACUGACCGAUAGUGAACCAGUACCGUGAGGGAAAGGCGAAAAGAACCCCGGCGAGGGGAGUGAAAAAGAACCUGAAACCGUGUACGUACAAGCAGUGGGAGCACGCUUAGGCGUGUGACUGCGUACCUUUUGU
rnacentral:rRNA from 1 species